rnacentral:rRNA from 1 species
AGCGAACAUUGGCGGUAGGCUUAACACAUGCAAGUCGAGCGAGGCGUAAUAGUCGAGCGGCGAACGGGUGAGUAAUACAUGGAAGUCUACCCUGAAGUGGGGGAUAACGUCCAGAAAUGGACGCUAAUACCGCAUAAUCCAUAUUGGGAAAGCGUUGCAGCGCUUUAGGAUGAGUCCAUGGCUGAUUAGCUAGUUGGUGAGGUAAAGGCUCACCAAGGCGACGAUCAGUUGCUGGUCUGAGAGGAUGACCAGCCACACUGGGACUGAGACACCCUCCAGACGCCUACGGGAGGCAGCAGUGGGGAAUCUUGCGCAAUGGGGGCAACCCUGACGCAGCGAUACCGCGUGAGUGAUGAAGGUCUUCGGAUUGUAAAGCUCUUUCGGCGGGGACGACGAUGACGGUACCCGCAAAAGAAGUGACGGCUAACCUCGUGCCAGCCGCCGCCGUAA